rnacentral:rRNA from 1 species
AUUGAACGCUGGCGGCAGGCCUAACACAUGCAAGUCGAGCGAGCGGCGGACGGGUGAGGAAUACAUCGGAAUCUACUCUGUCGUGGGGGAUAACGUAGGGAAACUUACGCUAAUACCGCAUACGAUUGAAUGAGCCGAUGUCGGGUUAGCUAGUUGGCGGGGUAAAGGCCCACCAGGGCAACGAUCCGUAGCUGGUCUGCGAGGAUGAUCAGCCACACUGGAACUGAGACACGGCCCAGAUCCCGAGGGGAGGCAGCAGGGGGGAAUAUUGGACAAGGGGCGCAAGCCUGAUCCAGCCAUACCGCGUGGGUGAAGAAGGCCUUCGGGUUGUAAAGCCCUUUUGUUGGGAAAACGGUACCCAAAGAAUAAGCACCGGCUAACUUCGUGCCAGAGCCGCGGUAAUAC